CAGCCGCCGCGGGAAUACGUAGGUCCCGAGCGUUAUCCGGAUUUAUUGGGCGUAAAGCGAGCGCAGGCGGUUAGAUAAGUCUGAAGUUAAAGGCUGUGGCUUAACCAUAGUACGCUUUGGAAACUGUUUAACUUGAGUGCAGAAGGGGAGAGUGGAAUUCCAUGUGUAGCGGUGAAAUGCGUAGAUAUAUGGAGGAACACCGGUGGCGAAAGCGGCUCUCUGGUCUGUAACUGACGCUGAGGCUCGAAAGCGUGGGGAGCAAACAGGAUUAGAUACCCCAGUAGUCCCUGUCUCUUAUACA
rnacentral:rRNA from 1 species